rnacentral:rRNA from 1 species
AUUGAACGCUGGCGGCAGGCCUAACACAUGCAAGUCGAACGGUAACAGGAAGCAGCUUGCUGCUUCGCUGACGAGUGGCGGACGGGUGAGUAAUGUCUGGGAAGCUGCCUGAUGGAGGGGGAUAACUACUGGAAACGGUAGCUAAUACCGCAUAAUGUCGCAAGACCAAAGAGGGGGACCUUCGGGCCUCUUGCCAUCGGAUGUGCCCAGAUGGGAUUAGCUUGUUGGUGGGGUAACGGCUCACCAAGGCGACGAUCGCUAGCUGGUCUGAGAGGAUGACCAGCCACACUGGGACUGAGACACGGUCCAGACUCCUACGGGAGGCAGCAGUGGGGAAUAUUGCACAAUGGGCGCAAGCCUGAUGCAGCCAUGCCGCGUGUAUGAAGAAGGCCUUCGGGUUGUAAAGUACUUUCAGCGGGGAGGAAGGGAGUAAAGUUAAUACCUUUGCUCAUUGACGUUACCCGCAGAAGAAGCACCGGCUAACUCCGUG